UACGAAGGGGACUAGCGUUGUUCGGAAUCACUGGGCGUAAAGCGCACGUAGGCGGAUGUGUCAGUCAGGGGUGAAAUCCCGGGGCUCAACCUCGGAACUGCCUUUGAUACAGCACGUCUCGAGUCCGGAAGAGGUGGGUGGAAUUCCUAGUGUAGAGGUGAAAUUCGUAGAUAUUAGGAAGAACACCGGUGGCGAAGGCGGCUCACUGGCCCGAUACUGACGCUGAGGUGCGAAAGCGUGGGGAGCAAACAGG
rnacentral:rRNA from 1 species